CAUAUGUGCAGGACGAUGGGAAGACGAGCUAGAGGCCAAAAGCAAUAUUGCAACACCAUGCGUGAGGAACAUGAUUCUGCCAGUAUUUAAGCAUUAUACUUGCUAACUGAGAGCUUAAUUAUCUUUGAUGCAACCAGUCCGUCCAAGCAUGCAAAUAGUUGAUUUGGGAUGUAGAGAUUAAAGAACAGCAAAAUCGUAAGCCAUCGGGUCAGGACGUCAUGUUCAGAAUUGUCUUGGCAUCUUCCAGUGUGGCGACGAUGUUGAUUGUCGGGAUUUGAAGAUAAGUGUGCUCCAUACCGUGGCUGAGCCUGUCGGUUUCGCACAGUGGCUGCACGACACCUCAUGGACCCGAUGUGAAGGACAAGUAAGCCAUCCACACGAAGUCGGCGGCAGCAAGGGUGUGGGGCGUCGGGAGGAGCAUCUGGGUUGAAGGUUCUGGCCCUCGCCAUUGAGACUACCGUGGUCGUCGCCGAGUACAUCUGAUCCAAGGCAUGGAGAACUCCAAGGAGUUUGCUGACAAGCUGUUCGGGAUAUGUCGAGGCAGAGGAACAUUGAGCCAGAUGAAGGCAUUAACAAGGAUCAGCUCAGAGAGGUGGAACAUGAACAUUGAUGGGAUGCUCACAGAAGAUGAGGUCAAGAAGGUGGCUACGCAAAUGAUCACAAAGAGAAGACUACCGCUGGGCCUUUUGAUCGACCACGCGAUUCAAAAAGCUCUUUAGUGCAGUUUGCAACAAAAAAAAUCAGAGGAUUGGUCGUUUGUAAGGGUGGAUAUAUCAGAGGCGGCAGCCACCCGGAUUGGAAUUUAAUUUCAAUCUAUUUCCCUGUCUGAAGUUUCAUACUAGAUGAGUUGCAAGUGGUACUAUGUUCCUACGCUGCGUCGACCCGAGCAGUUGCGAGAGCGAAUGAAGCUGCGGUUGCACGGACAAGCUUGUGGAGGUGUUAGUAUGCACGCAUGCGUCCCUGAUUUGGAGCAUGCCUCUGGCCUGGUAGGAUUCUCGCUCUGCCCCGACCUGAAGGGCGUUCCUCUAUCUGUGUCGUGCUCGGGACCAUGCACUAAUGCAGGUGCGGUUCUUCAGCUUUUCUUUGUCUUUUUCUUGGUAUGUAUAUCUCUCAAUCUUGUGAGCCGUGAUUUUCAUGCUGCCAUGUAUGCCAUUGUGUCCUGUAUAAUGAUUCUUCUUAUUAUUUUUGAAUGGCAUAAUUAUUCUUAUUGAGGCAAUGCCGCUGCCUAAUUUGCUUAUAGAAAUAACAUACUAAUUAAUACAGGGAGAGAGUACGAUUUUUUGACACAAUCUGCAGUACCCGUGAGCCUGCCCAUAGGUAGAUAUGGAUACAUUUUGUAGCUUCCAUUCUUGUUUUCUCUCAUUAAAAUUAUGGAUUUGGAAACUAAUCAUGGAGUGUCUAGAUUGCCUGCUAUAUUACCAAGUGCGCUGAAGGAAAAGCUGCUGCCACUGUUGAUGACCACUCUAGGUGAUAUAAUUCAUGUUUGCUUUGUUGUUUCAGUAACUUCCUGUAGCAUAUUGGUUCCAUCUUUUUUUUGCAUCAUGGUACAUUAUUCUCAUCUUGAUAUAUAUCAUUUGGUCAACUGAAGAUUUGAGUGCAGGGUAGAAUUCUUGGUUGAUUUUAGAAUUUCGUUGUUGAUUAGUUGGCCAACGGACUUUUAUGAAAUUCAAGGCGUCAUUUAGUGUACUAUAUGUCAUAUUUGUCUUAUUUCUAUACUCACAAUAUUUCCGCAUCAUCUGAACAAAUGAUGCUAAAUUGAUAUAAUCAUUUUGGAUCAGUGUCAUCUUCUCAAUGCUGAACAGCCAAAAUAUAUACAUAGUGAGCAUUCCGCCGCACAUGCUCAUACGUCAUAUUUAUGUACUGUUUACCACGGCAAAAAUUGGUCAAACAUUUAAACAUUUCUACUGUUUAACACAACCAAAGUAUAUACAUAAUGAUCAGUCCUCCGCUGCACGUUAGAUCCAGCCUCCCUCCCUUGACACCAUUCUUCUUACUUAUUAUUAUUUAUUUUAAAAAUAUCUUUAGUUUUAUUUUCUAGCUACUUCAAUUCAUUUGUAUAUGGUUAGUUCCAUCGCACUACGAGGAUGAUCCAUGGCUGGUCGCGGACGAUCACCUGCGAGGAUGAUUCAUGGCCGAUUGGGAAUGGUCAGUUCCAUCACACUGCGAGGAGAUGAUUCAUGGCCAGUCGGGGAUGGUCACCUGCGCCCGAAGGCCAACCUUAAUACUGGACCUUGAAAGGGGCAUGUGGCCAACCAUGCCGGAGGACGCAGAGGAGUUGUUUGGGAAUGUUAUCAUCAGAGGACCCAAGAAGCAACCCACCACGGAUGCAUGGACCAACCACGCAAGUCCAUUCUUGCAAUCCAUCUGUGGCGAGGGUUCAUGACAGACAAGCCAAUAGAUUUGGGGGUCCACUUCCCGGUGAAACAAAUGUUCAUUGCGGACAAUACGAAGACAAUGAUUGGUACAAUGAGGUGAAUAUAUUAGAAUUUUUAUUCUUCUCUCUCCAUGUCUAUGUUUGUGCUUGAUCAACUGUCCACUUAAUGAUUUUAGUUGUACAAAGUCCUAAGCCGGUCUCACUAGGUCGUACCCAGUGGCGGAGACAGGGGGGACCAGCAGGGGCCCUGGCCCCCCCUAAGACCAUGAUUUUGCAUGUAAUUUGCUAUGAGCAGUGGCAAAAUUAGUACUAAUUUGCUGCUAAAAAUCUAUUUUUCAACACUUUGGUCCUCCCCAACCAGUUUUAGUAGCACUUGGCCUCCCUUAUAGAUAUUUUCUGGCUCCGCCAUUGGUUCGUACUUGUACCACACCGUGGGAAGGUUAUGGCCAAGAAUGAGCUGGAGGUUAUUGCUUUGGCGACGCCGAAGGCCGUUCACGCGAAGAGGAGAUGUGCCUGGUGACGAGAAGUCUUAGACCACCGGCUGCAAGGUUGCACCUUGGAGUUCAAAAUUUGGUGUCUUCGCAUUGAAGGAUCCAAUCCAUCGACUUUGGAGUUUGAACAUGUCACUUGUGAUGGGGAGAGGAAGAGAUGACUUGCAUACACUGGACAAUGAGUAUGUUAGCAGCGUGGUGGCUCAGGACUGUACAAGUUGUAGUAGCCCCUUCCCUUAUAAAUGUUUUGUUUUGAUUGGAAGCACCUUAUAAUUAGCUAAUAUAUGGAUUUCAUUUACAUCGUCUGUCCAAGUAUGCGAGGCCCAUGAGAUGGGCAUUAAUCACUUCUCCUUUUUGUCAGUAUUUUGAUAGGGGACCUAUGUAUAUGGGAAGGAGUUAGUAUCAUGUAAAUCGUAUCACCAAUUUAAGGAUCCUCAUGUUUUCUUACUUUUCAACACUUAUUUGUGAUUU